GAAUCAUUGGCACAUAUCUCCACCCAUUUCGAAAUGAAAUUUUGAAAUAAUUCAAAGAACAACUCUAUUCUCUUCCAAUAGAUGACGGAGAAGGUCAUGUUGGUACUGUUUGUGAGAUUGGACGCUCUGGAUCGACACACUCACCUGAAAAUACGGUUGUAAUUAAUUGGGAUUCUGGACAUAGAACAAAUUAUCGUGUUGGCUACCAAAAUCAAUACGAUUUAAUUAUUGUUGAUAACGCACAAGUUGGUGUACGCCAUUCGAAUGUUGUUUGUGAUGGCUGCUCUAAGCCGGGAAUAGCUGGCAUUGUUUUUAAAUGCGCCCAGUGUUCGAACUACCAUCUCUGUGCUUAUUGUUAUGGUGCGGAUUUGCACGAAACGGAUCAUUCAUUCAUUCGUUACACAACGCCUACAUCGCUAGGGUAUGUUUGAAUUGUUUCAGUUAAUAUUAUUUUAUUGAUUUGACUAAUUAACAACCUAUAAGUUGAUUAACGGGUUAUAACUAAAAAUCUGCACUAAUUAAAAAAAACAAAUCAAUUAAAA